rnacentral:rRNA from 1 species
UACGGGGGGGGCAAGCGUUGUUCGGAAUUACUGGGCGUACAGGGCUCGUAGGCGGCCAACUAAGUCGGACGUGAAAUCCCUCGGCUUAACCGGGGAACUGCGUCCGAUACUGGAUGGCUGGAGGUUGGGAGAGGGAUGCGGAAUUCCAGGUGUAGCGGUGAAAUGCGUAGAUAUCUGGAGGAACACCGGUGGCGAAGGCGGCAUCCUGGACCAAUUCUGACGCUGAGGAGCGAAAGCCAGGGGAGCAAACGGG